CCUACGGGAGGCAGCAGUAGGGAAUCUUCCACAAUGGGCGAAAGCCUGAUGGAGCAACGCCGCGUGGGUGAAGAAGGUCUUCGGAUCGUAAAACCCUGUUGUUAGAGAAGAAAGUGCGUGAGAGUAACUGUUCACGUUUCGACGGUAUCUAACCAGAAAGCCACGGCUAACUACGUGCCAGCAGCCGCGGUAAUACGUAGGUGGCAAGCGUUAUCCGGAUUUAUUGGGCGUAAAGGGAACGCAGGCGGUCUUUUAAGUCUGAUGUGAAAGCCUUCGGCUUAACCGGAGUAGUGCGUUGGAAACUGGGAGACGUGAGUGCGGAGGAGGAGAGUGGAACUCCAGGUGUAGCGGUGAAAUGCGUAGAUAUAUGGAAGAACGCCAGUGGCGAAAGCGGCUCUCUGGUCUGUAACUGACGCUGAGGUUCGAAGGCGUGGGUAGCAAACAGGAUUAGAUACCCCGGUAGUC
rnacentral:rRNA from 1 species